CUGUGGGACUUCUGGCUCUGCAUCAUCCCAAGUGUCCUCACAUUCCAGACCCGGGCUGAGCAGCAGCUGUUACUGAGAGCUGUUGUUCUCCUGGUACAAGGCAGCAACCUGCCAAGGGAACCAGAGCCAAGCCACCCCUUCAAAGUGUCUGCAUGGCUGUGUCAUGCCUGAGCUCUCACCACCGUCUGGAGCAUACAAUGAGGCAAGCCAGAGUCGAUAAGAUGUAUUGUGUUAUUCCCUAUGGACCACAGAAUAAAAGGAAAAGGAGGAAGAGGAAAAGGAGGGGGAAGGAAAAAGAAGAGAAGAGGAAGAGGAAGAAAUUGAAUGGGAAAAGAAAAAAUACCUUUUAAUGACUUUCAAAUAAAAAUUCUGAAUAAAGUUAUUAAAAAUUAGCAACUGAAAAAGGGAGCUACAAUGUGACAUCUUAUUUCUGAAUCCUUCUAAUCUUCAGUCCCUUUGUCCCAAAUAGUCAAACUUCAUUAUGGAAGAACAAUUCCAAAAUCCAAGA
rnacentral:lncRNA from 1 species